UGACGUGUGUGUGUGUAUCUGAGUGGCUGUGUGAGAAAACCGUGAUCUCAGCUGGGAAAUGGCAUGUUAGUCAUAAACAAAUGCAACUAGAUUAGCCUUUGAGAUUUCAUUAGAACGAAACCUCUCAUUUUAUAGAUGGGAAAACCAAACUCUAAAAUGAUGAAGUUCCACUCCUAGAAAUAAACUCAACAGAGAUGAAAACAUCGGUCCACACCAAACCAAGAAUGUUCAUAGUAAUAUUAUUCAUAACAGCCAAAAAGUAGAAACAAUCCAAAUUUCCAACUGAUGAAUGCAUAAAUAAAUGGGGUACUACAGCCAUACAGUGGAAUAUUUGUCCUUAAAAAGAAAUGAAGUUCGGAUUCAUGUGACAAUAUGAAUGAAUAACAAAAACACGUUACGUGAAAGAAGCAAGUCACAAAAAGCUGUGCACGGUAUGAUUCUUUUUAUAGAAAAUGUCCAGAAUAAACAAAUAUAUUGAGAAAGAAAAUAGACCAGGGGUUGUUUAGGGCUGGGGGGAGGGGUAUUGGAGGAGAAGUGGGUGUGGGAGAAAAGAGGAGUGACUGACUGCUAGUGGGUAUAGGAUUUGAGGGGGAUAAUUCAAAUGUUCUAAAACAUCUUACAGGGAUAGUUGCACAACCUUGUGACUAUACUAAAAAUAGUGACUUGCACACUUUAAAUAGAUGAAUUAUAUCUUGAUAAUGCUCUUAUUUUUUCUUUUUAAAAAGAUAUUGUAUCUUGCUCAAGGUCUCCCAGCAAGUGAGUGGUGGUGCUGGUACAAGAACUUGAUCCUUUGACUCUAAGCUCAGUGCUCUUCCCACAAGCCUUCCAAAGCCUCAAAAGUCAUGGAGACCUGAAGGCCAAGUCCUACUUGCAUGGCCGAGGCACCAGCCCCAGAAGGCGCCUGCCUCCCCACCCCCGCCUCUGACAGCCGUGGAGAGAGCGUCACAAUAAAUUCAUGGCCGCCCGGCUGGGAAACAGGCGGCUGCAAUGGAAAGGAAGCGUGGAUUUGCAUAUUGAAUUAAAAUUAAGAGCUAAUUAUGCAAAUAAAUUAUGACAUUUGGCAGGAG
ensembl:lncRNA